rnacentral:rRNA from 1 species
UAAGAUUUUAAUUGAAUGCUAAGAGAAUGGAUUUACGAAAAAUGACUUUUUUAAAUUCAAUAAUUGAAUUUAUUUUUAUUUGUGAGGAAACAAUAAUAAAUAUUAAGGACAAGAAGACCCUAAGAAUUUUAAAAGAAUUAAUAUUUGAAUCAAAAUUUAUAUCUUUUUAAUUGGGGCGAUUAAGAAAUAUUAAUAACUUUCCUUACUAUACCAAAAUGAACCGUUAAUAGCGGUAAUAUGAUAAAAAUACUCUAGGGAUAACAGCGUAAUAAUUUUUGAUAGUUCAUAUAGACAAAAUAGUUUGCGACCUCGAUGUUGGAUUAGGAUACUUUUUUAAUGAAGAAG